UGAGGAAUCUUGCGCAAUGGGGGAAACCCUGACGCAGCAACGCCGCGUGCGUGAGGAAGGCCUUCGGGUCGUAACGCUCUGUCAGUUGGGAAGAAACACCUGAGGGUUAAUACCCUCCAGGCUUGACGGUACCAACAGAGGAAGCACCGGCUAACUCCGUGCCAGCAGCCGCGGUAAUACGGGGGGUGCAAGCGUUGUUCGGAAUUACUGGGCGUAAAGCGCGCGUAGGCGGAUAUGUAAGUCAGAAGUGAAAUCCCUCGGCUUAACCGAGGAAUAGCUUUUGAUACUGUGUAUCUUGAGUUCGGGAGAGGUUAGUGGAACUCCAGGUGUAGGAGUGAAGUCCGUAGAUAUCUGGAGGAACAUCAGUGGCGAAGGAGACUGAGUGGUCCGAGACUGACGCUGUGGUGCGAAAGCGUGGGUAGCAAACA
rnacentral:rRNA from 1 species